UCAGGUGGCCGCAGAGAAUAGGCCCAAGCGACUGUUUACCAAAAACAUAGGUUUCUGCUAAGUCGCAAGACGAUGUAUAGGGGCUGACGCCUGCCCGGUGCUGGAAGGUUAAGGGGAUCUGUUAGAGCAAUCGAAGCAGUGAACUUAAGCCCCAGUAAACGGCGGCCGUAACUAUAACGGUCCUAAGGUAGCGAAAUUCCUUGUCGGGU
rnacentral:rRNA from 1 species